GCCCCGAAUUCAAACAAGAGAAUUGUUCCUUAUAAACUACGAUUUCUCACAAGUAUUAAUUUAUUAUUUAGUUCCACACAUGCAUAAGAAAUAAUCUUCGCCGAUGUAACAUUUCAAUUUAUUACAACAACAUGCCUUCACUGAAUUCAUUCAGGUGCACCAAUGAUACGAUUAAAGUUAUUUUGUUUCUAUCUUUGGGGGACAAUUUCCUCCGUUUAUGGUACGCUUAUAGCUACAUUUUUGUACUGUGUGUAUGUUUUAUAGCAUGAAAAUAAUAAAAGAGGAAUGUCAGUGCAACCACUGAUUAAUGAUUGUAAUGGAUCAGUAUUAUGAGAUACUUAUUAUAAGUGACUACGACAUUGUUAGGAUUAUAACCUAUCGUCAGUAUGAAAGAAAUUAAAAGUGGUUCAUAUAUAUUCAUCCGUAUAAAAGCGGCACAUGUAUUUUAUUUUAUCCUUAUAUUUCUCAUCAUGCCGGGUACAAGAUAAUUGAGUUGCUGCAUGCAAAGAACUUAGAAUAUUACUUAAAACAAACUAUCAGUAUAAUAUUUCGACCCCACUUUUUGAAGUUAAUAAAACAUUUAUUUAUUUCUUUUGACCAAAGGUUUGUAAACUAUACAAAUCAUUGUUUUUACGUUCGUAGUAACAUAGUAAAUUCCAUUGUCGGUCACCUGUGUCAAUUCACAUGCACACUUAUUACAUUGUUGUUGUAUUUAAAUCUUUCGGCCAAUGAAAUGAGACGUAACAAGUUGUUUGUUUGUGAUACGCCAGAAUGUUAUCAAUGAACUAUCAAACGCUAAAGUCGACUGCAUUUCA
rnacentral:lncRNA from 1 species